CCUACGGGUGGCAGCAGUGAGGAAUAUUGGUCAAUGGACGAGAGUCUGAACCAGCCAAGUAGCGUGAAGGAUGACUGCCCUAUGGGUUGUAAACUUCUUUUAUAAAGGAAUAAAACGAGGCACGUGUGCCUUUUUGCAUGUACUUUAUGAAUAAGGAUCGGCUAACUCUGUGCCAGCAGCCGCGGUAAUACGGAGGAUCCGAGCGUUAUCCGGAUUUAUUGGGUUUAAAGGGAGCGUAGAUGGGUUGUUAAGUCAGUUGUGAAAGUUUGCGGCUCAACCGUAAAAUUGCAAUUGAUACUGGCAGUCGUGAGUACAGUUGAGGUAGGCGGAAUUCGUGGUGUAGCGGUGAAAUGCUUAGAUAUCACGAAGAACCCCGAUUGCGAAGGCAGCUUACUAAACUGUGACUGACAUUGAUGCUCGAAAGUGUGGGUAUCAAACAGGAUUAGAUACCCGGGUAGUC
rnacentral:rRNA from 1 species